rnacentral:rRNA from 1 species
UCGAGCGAGUCUGCCUUGAAGAUCGGAGUGCUUGCACUCUGUGAAACAAGAUACAGGCUAGCGGCGGACGGGUGAGUAACACGUGGGUAACCUGCCCAAGAGAUCGGGAUAACACCUGGAAACAGAUGCUAAUACCGGAUAACAACAGAUGAUGCCUAUCAACUGUUUAAAAGAUGGUUCUGCUAUCACUCUUGGAUGGACCUGCGGUGCAUUAGCUAGUUGGUAGGGUAACGGCCUACCAAGGCGAUGAUGCAUAGCCGAGUUGAGAGACUGAUCGGCCACAUUGGGACUGAGACACGGCCCAAACUCCUACGGGAGGCAGCAGUAGGGAAUCUUCCACAAUGGACGCAAGUCUGAUGGAGCAACGCCGCGUGAGUGAAGAAGGGUUUCGGCUCGUAAAGCUCUGUUGUUGGUGAAGAAGGACAGGGGUAGUAACUGACCUUUGUUUGACGGUAAUCAAUUAGAAAGUCACGGCUAACUACGUGCCAGCAGCCGCGGUAAUACGUAGGUGGCAAGCGUUGUCCGGAUUUAUUGGGCGUAAAGCGAGUGCAGGCGGCUCGAUAAGUCUGAUGUGAAAGCCUUCGGCUCAACCGGAGAAUUGCAUCAGAAACUGUCGAGCUUGAGUACAGAAGAGGAGAGUGGAACUCCAUGUGUAGCGGUGAA